AUUUGGUCUACCCCUGUGCCUCCUGGUCUGCAUUAGCAGGAAGCUGGAGUCAGGAGCCUAAGGCAGGUAUCAAACUCAGGCACUCCUCUAGGGAUGUGGCUUAACUGGUAAGCCAGCCACACAACUGCCUGGUAGUUCCAGUAUCCAUCAGUACAAAUGCCAUUGUCGCAGAUAUUUUACUCUGUCCGUCACAAUACACGCGUAGAGACAGAUGUCAAUUUUACUUCGGAAAAUAGCACCAUCGAACCCUUUUUUUUUUUUAAAAGGCAAGUUGCAGAGAGGGGCAGAGAGAAGGAGAGGUCUUCCAUCUGCUGGUUCACUACCCAAAUGGCCACAACCACCAGAGCUGAGCUGAUCUGAAGCCAGGAGACCACCUUCUGGGUCUCCCACACAGUGACCUAAGGGAUAGAGACACCAUGGACACAGAUUUUUGGGGAGAGCUGGCAGCUGACCUGGACUAACAUCAGAAUCGCCUGCAGUGCAGACCAAGCCACUCCCAGACCAAUGGAACUCUAACCUCUGCUGGUGACGGCUGGGGAUCUGCACUGUCGAAGAUGCUGUCAGCAUAUUUGAAGAAGCACACCAUGGUGUUUGGGGACAGAAGACUUAAAUUUAGACCAUGGGACUGGAUUCGCAGCUUCUGCACUUCCACCUGACCUUCAGAUGACUCAGCUGGCAUUGUUGAAGAGCAGCUGCCGGUGUACUCCAACAAAUUCCAGCUUUUAUUAUCAUCAUCAUUGUUGCAGGGCUGAGACGUCUUCUCAGAUUUUUGCCAGGUCACUCAUUACGAGUACUUCUUUGUUAAAAAAUUCUUUUCUGCUUUCUGCAAUGUCUUUAAUUUCUCCAAGCUCAUUUCCUCCCACUUGUUUACCUUGGUGUCUGUCUUUCAUGUUAGAAGCAUUUUUUGGUCCGGUGAUCAGCACCAUACUUGUGAGUAAGCUUUUGCUCCGAAACAUUUUUUUUUUAAAAGAUUUGUUUAUUUGAAAUCAGAGCUAC